rnacentral:rRNA from 1 species
GGGCCCGCACAAGCGGUGGAGCAUGUGGUUUAAUUCGACGCAACGCGAAGAACCUUAUCCUGGGUUUGAACUGUAGGAAGUAGUUCCCUUGAAAGAGGGAACGACCUGUAAAGUCAGGAGCCUAUAGAGGUGCUGCAUGGCUGUCGUCAGCUCGUGUCGUGAGAUGUUGGGUUAAGUCCCGCAACGAGCGCAACCCUUAUCCCAUGUUGCCACGUCCGUAAAGGACAGCACUCUUGGGAAACUGCCUCGGAUAACGGGGAGGAAGGUGGGGAUGACGUCAAGUCCUCAUGGCCUUUAUGUCCAGGGCUACACACGUGCUACAAUGGUCGGUACAGCGAGCAGCAAAUCCGCAAGGAAGAGCUAAUCUCUAAAAGCCGGCCUCAGUUCAGAUAGUGGGCUGCAACCCGCCCACUUGAAGGUGGAAUCGCUAGUAAUCGGGGAUCAGCAGGCCCCGGUGAAUACGUUCCCGGGCCUU